GAUGAACGCUGGCGGUCUGCUUAACACAUGCAAGUCGAACGGAAUCUUUCGGGAUUUAGUGGCGGACGGGUGAGUAACGCGUGAGAAUCUGCCUUCAGGUUCGGGACAACAGUUGGAAACGGCUGCUAAUACCGGAUGUGCCGAGAGGUGAAACUUAAUUGCCUGGAAAUGACCUCGCGUCUGAUUACCUAUUGGAGUGGUAACGGCACCCCUAGGCAACAAUCAUUACCUGGUCUGAAAGGAUAAUCACCCACACUGGGACUGAAACACGGCCCAAACUCCUACGGGAGGCAGCAGUGGGGAAUUUUCCGCAUUGGGCGCAAGCCUGACGGACCAUGACCGCGUGAGGGAAAAAGGUCUGUGGAUUGUAAACCUCUUUUGAUAGGGAAAAACACAGUGACGGUACCUAUCGUAUCAACCUCGGCUAACUCCGUGCCAGCAGCCGCGGUAAUACAGAAUACGCACGCGUUAUCCGGAAUUAUUGGGCGUAAAGAGUCCGUGUGUGGGUCACCAAGUCAGUUGUUAAACUGUGAAGCUUACUUCAUAGAGGCGACUGACACUGCAGCUCUAGAGUGUGAUAGGGGUAGAGGGAACUUCCAGUGUAGCGGUGAAAUGCGUAUAUACUGGAAAAACACCGGUGGCGAAAGCUCUCUACUGACCUGCUCUGACACUGAGGGUACGACGCUAGGGGAGCAAUAGGAAUUAUAUACCCUGUUGUUCAUACCGUAAACGAUGGUUACUAUGCUGUGACCG
rnacentral:rRNA from 1 species